rnacentral:rRNA from 1 species
CCUACGGGUGGCAGCAGUGGGGAAUAUUGCACAAUGGGGGAAACCCUGAUGCAGCAACGCCGCGUGAGUGAAGAAGUAUUUCGGUAUGUAAAGCUCUAUUAGCAGGGAAGUAGAAAUCCGUUACCUGACUAAUAAGCCCCUCCUAACUACGUGCCAGCAGCCUCGGUAAUACGUAGGAGGCAAGCGUUAUCCGGAUGUACUGGGUGUAAAGGGAGCGUAGACGGAUUCGGAAGUCUGAAGUGAAAGCCCGUGGCUCAACCGUAGAAGUGCUUUGGAUACUGUAUAGUUUGAGUACUGGAGAGGUAGGCGGAAUUCCUGGUGUAGCGGUGAAAUGCGUAGAUAUUAGGAGGAACACCAGUGGCGAAGGCGGCCUGCUGGACAGAAACUGACGUUGAGGCUCGAAAGCGUGGGGAGCAAACAGGAUUAGAUACCCGAGUAGUC